rnacentral:sRNA from 1 species
GGAGUCUAAGUAAUACUCGAGGUUUAAUAAUGAGAGUUUAUGUUGUUUCAGACUUUUCUUGCCACAUGUUUGACCUCUUUUGUUCAGCAUUCAUUGUCAGUAAGUCAGGGUCGGUCAUUGUCUCGUUCACUGUCUUUUGCUCACUAUGUGGUUGUUGUUAGUGUAUUGUACAAGUUUUAUGUAUGAUAUUUUUUCACUUCAAUUUCAAAUUAAUCUUUUGGGGUCAGACCAUUUCUUGAGAUUUCUGAAGCCAUGAUUAUUAGAAUUAUAGCAUCAUCACCUCCAUUUUUGUGGAUUUCUACCCAUGUUUUAUCGAUUCUAAAAUUGAUUUUUAUUUUUGUUUCAAUGAAACACAAAUAUUUUUAUUGCAAAUACAAAGAAAUAUAACUGAUAAAUAUUGCUUUAUGAAGUUGAAUGCUGUGCCUUUUCUCUACUUUGAUUUCUGAUUGACUAGUUUGCUUUUAAAAACUUGCCACUUUUUUGGCAAUGGGGCUGUAUGGCUACUAUAUGGUAAUUAAUAUAUAUUAUAUACUUUUGUAUACGCUUCAGGGUUUUCAAGUGAAACACAAUAUGAGCCACAUUGGCACAUGCAUUUAGAAAAACUUACUAUGUUAAGUGUAGUCUACAACACAUAAAUAUAUAGGACUUUUCUAUUUAACAGUUCAGUGACAUAGAUAAACAUGGCUGUACUUAAUUAAUGCUUUAAAUCUAUGAUGUCAUUUAUCAAUAGGUAUUUGUUUGAAAGAAAUUUUUUUUAAAAGUUUUUAAUGUUUUACCACUUUUAACUUGAUCAGCAAUGUAAAGUUAGUUACCAAACUUGGAGAUAAUGAAUAAAUUACAUGAAAACUUG